ACAGGGAUUGCCCUAGUAACGGCGAGUGAAGCGGCAACAGCUCAAAUUUGAAAUCUGGCUCUUUCAGAGUCCGAGUUGUAAUUUGCAGAGGGCGCUUUGGCUUUGGCAGCGGUCCAAGUUCCUUGGAACAGGACGUCACAGAGGGUGAGAAUCCCGUACGUGGUCGCUAGCUAUUGCCGUGUAAAGCCCCUUCGACGAGUCGAGUUGUUUGGGAAUGCAGCUCUAAAUGGGAGGUAAAUUUCUUCUAAAGCUAAAUAUUGGCCAGAGACCGAUAGCGCACAAGUAGAGUGAUCGAAAGAUGAAAAGCACUUUGGAAAGAGAGUCAAACAGCACGUGAAAUUGUUGAAAGGGAAGCGCUUGCAGCCAGACUUGCUUGCAGUUGCUCAUCCGGGCUUUUGCCCGGUGCACUCUUCUGCAGGCAGGCCAGCAUCAGUUUGGGCGGUGGGAUAAAGGUCUCUGUCAUGUACCUCUCUUCGGGGAGGCCUUAUAGGGGAGGCGACAUACCACCAGCCUAGACUGAGGUCCGCGCAUCUGCUAGGAUGCUGGCGUAAUGGCUGUAAGCGGCCCGUCUUGAAACACGGACCAAGGAGUCUAACAUCUAUGCGAGUGUUUGGGUGUCAAGCCCGAGCGCGUAAUGAAAGUGAACGGAGGUGGGAACCCGCAAGGGUGCACCAUCGACCGAUCCUGAAGUUUACGGAAGGAUUUGAGUAAGAGCAUGGCUGUUGGGACCCGAAAGAUGGUGAACUAUGCUUGAAUAGGGUGAAGCCAGAGGAAACUCUGGUGGAGGCUCGCAGCGGUUCUGACGUGCAAAUCGAUCGUCAAAUUUGGGCAUAGGGGCGAAAGACUAAUCG
rnacentral:rRNA from 1 species